rnacentral:rRNA from 1 species
CAGUCGCCACGGUAAAACGUAGGUGGCGAGCGUUGUCCGGAAUUAUUGGGUGUAAAGGGAGCGCAGGCGGACAUAUAAGUCCAUCUUAAAAGUGCGGGGCUCAACCCCGUGAGGGGAUGGAAACUGUAUGCCUUGAGUGCAGGAGAGGAAAGCGGAAUUCCCAGUGUAGCGGUGAAAUGCGUAGAGAUUAGGAGGAACACCAGUGGCGAAGGCGGCUUUUUGGCCUGUAACUGACACUGAGGCGCGAAAGCGUGGGGAGCAAACAGGGUUAGAUACCCCUGUAGUCCCUGUCUCUUAUACA